AGACAAGGAAUUUUCUUCAGGACUGUUUCCCUCUGGCAGGCUCCGGUAUUAUCACUGAGAAUGGUCCCGUGUGUGUGUGCGUGUGUGUCAUGUUUACAACUUCUGUCCAAGUCUUCUUUCUUUUUUCUCUACCUUUGUGUGACAUUUGAUUUCUCCGCAGGGCUCUGAAUCCCAGUCCUGGUGCGUGUGCGUGCAUGUAUGUGCGUGUGUGUGUGUGUGUGUGUGUGUGUGUGUGUUUGUUGGGGUGGUCGGGGAGGACACUGAAGCAGCACGGUCUGCUCUGUGUCGCUGUGUGUCUGAAACUGUCUAGGGAGAGGCUGCUGCCCAUUUUACAGAUGGCACCUUCGGAAGACAAUGCUGAGCCAGGACCAGCUGCUGAAUGACUCUCGCCUGCCUGCCCCCAACUCUGAUGACUGGAGAUGACUUUCUUCGUGGCUGAGAGCGUAGGGAGGCAUGUGUGGGGGCCCCGGAGCCUUUGCUUCUGUGGGGAGCGGGCACACAGCCCCCUCUGCAAGCCCAGUCCGGGCUGGCAGGGUGUCUCAGACAGGCUGCUGACAGGCAUGAAGCAGAGCUGUGGGACAGGUGUCCAGGGGUGGCCCCAG
rnacentral:lncRNA from 1 species